UUUGACCUUGGAGAACAAAAUGAAGCAGGGCAAAGGCUAACAGAAUUCUCCCAAGACAGUGCACUGGUCAUAGCAAAUACCCUUUUUCAACAACAUAAGGGAUGACUUUACACAUGGACGUUACCAAAUGGUCAAUAUCGAAAUAAGACUGAUUAUAUUCUCUGCAGCCA